rnacentral:rRNA from 1 species
GACGAACGCUGGCGGCGUGCUUAAUACAUGCAAGUCAACUGAACUUAAGAUAGCAAUAUUUUAAGGGAGGUGGCGCACGGGUGAGUAACGCGUAGGUAAUCUGCCUUUAGGUCUGACACAACCCCGAGAAAUCGGGGCUAAUAUCAGAUGAUGCAGCGGCUCGACAUCGAGACAGUUGUUAAAUUUUCGGGGCCUAAAGAUGAGCCUGCGUCUGAUUAGCUGGUUGGCGGGGUAACGGCCCACCAAGGCAACGAUCAGUAGCUGGUCUGAGAGGAUGAUCAGCCACACUGGAACUGAGACACGGUCCAGACUCCUACGGGAGGCAGCAGUAAGGAAUAUUGCUCAAUGGCCGAAAGGCUGAAGCAGCAACGCCGCGUGGAGGAUGAAAUACUUUUGUAUGUAAACUCCUGUGAGAAGGGAAAAAUAUGCAGAUUUUCUGCGUUGAUUGUACCUUCAGAGGAAGCCCCGGCUAACUACGUGCCAGCAGCCGCGG